rnacentral:lncRNA from 10 species
GAAACAGUAAAGUUCCUGCUGACAUUCUUAUAAGACAUGUGGACAAACUGGAGGAAUUAAUGAUCAAGAUGCCUUUUGCUAAAAACAAGAUGAACAUCCGUCACUCUGUAGUCAGGACUGAGACCUGAGCUUCUGCCCCUAAGUGAUGCCAGUGCUGAUGGGUUCUGCGCGUGUUACCUAAGAAAAUGUUACCUACACAGGGUUCUUCUAUGAACCUGGAAGAUGAAGAUGUUCUCAUAUCUUUUCUUCUAUAUGCCAUAAAGAUUUAACUUAUUUCACAUUUUCUCUUAACAUUGUGAAUUAUAUCAAUUUUUUUUUCUAAGGUUAAACUGAGAUGACCACAAUCAUUCAAUCUAUAUUCUUUUAUAUAUUGCUGGAUUUAUUUUUUAAAACUUACGAUUUAUGAGCUUUGCAUCUACCUUCAUCACUGACAUUGAUUUAACAUUUUCUUUCUUCAAUCUUUUUCAUGUUGCAUUAUCUGUGUUAUAUUUGCAUCAUAACACAAUUCAAGAAGCAUUUACUCUCUAUGUAAGAGUUACUUUUGUUUUUUCCUCAGGCAUUUAACAGAAUAUAUUAUUUAAAUCAUCUGAGAAUAAAAUUUUGCACAUGAGAUUUUAAAAUAGUGAUUAAAAUUUUUAGCAGAUAAAAGGCUAUUAAGAUAUUUUAUCACAUUUUGUUCAGUCUGAGAAAGUUGUGCGUUUCAAGGAAUUUAUACAUUUUCUCUAAUUCAUUAAAUUUUUG